rnacentral:antisense_RNA from 1 species
UGUUAUGGCGGCUGUGCGCGGGAGACCUUCAGGUCUGCCGGGUGUGAUGGUGGUCCGGUUUUUCCAGUCCGCGCACAGUUGCCACCCUU